rnacentral:lncRNA from 1 species
UGACGAUCUAAUUUGUCAAAUUUUCCUUUUGUACCUUUGCAGUUUUGUUCUUAUUUGUAGAUUUUUUUUUUCACGCAGGAAAGGUAUAAGUCAAAGUGGAGAGGUAUGUGGUCGAUUUCUGUCCAGUACAACCAGUUAAAAGGUUAGUUAAACUUUUUUGUUCAUCCUCGGUCUUUCAGCUUCUCAACUCAAUAUGAAAAUUAGCAGAUUAUUAUGGAUUGUUCAGCUACUUUCAGAGUUGCCUAAAUAAAUUUUUAUUUAUCUAUAAUCAUUGUACUGGGAGUUGUAUGUGCUUACUGAAAAUUGGCAUUCACAUAUUAUGUGUCAUGUUUACUUCGGCCAGUUUGGGUGACGCGCAGCUCUUAGGCUGGAACAUUUUGUAUUCAGCCGUUACUUUGAGACAUG